AAAUGGAGAUUAUAGAGAUAGUGAUGUACAAAGAGAAAGGUUAGGGAUACAUAUAGAAUAAAAGAUAUAGAGAUAGAUAGCAAAAUAAAUUAAAUUGUUGUCUUGGCAAAAUAAAUUAAUAUAUAUAUGCCACUUAACAACCCAAGGCAAGAUGCAGAGCCUUGGUAAUUAUAUUGCUUCUCUUUGUAUUUCUUGUGCAAUGUAAGUGUCUCAUCAUUCUUUAUCUUUGAAUUUUUCUUGAUGUGCAUAUAUAUACUACAUCCUCACGAACACAUAAUCUAUCAGGUCGUCCUCACGAGGACAUCGAUUUUGGAACUACAAGGGGCCGAGCUGCUUUUAGUCUCACCGGAACUGGAUAUUGUGACAUGGAGCGCCAAAAUAAUAAAGUGGUCUACUGCUGCUCACAUCCAAUGCCAAAACAUUGUUAUAACACUUUUCAGCAGUGUCAGGCCAAUUGCUAUGUUCGUAAUCGCAACUGAUUCCCCAUGCAGUCAAUGAUACAUAAUCUGAGCAAUCUUCAGGUCCAUUUGAUUCACUACUACAGAAAUAU
rnacentral:lncRNA from 1 species